CGCAUGCGCAGACAGAGUGUGCGAGCGGCGGGCCUUGACCUUUCGGGAAAAAAACUCACGGACGGUGACAGCGAGGCGGAUAACAGUCUUCAGUACCUGCUGGACUUUGAAGCUGUGGAUUCUGGGACUGUUAGAAAAGAGGCAGCGGUGAGACCUCGGGUCAUCCAGCUGGAGAGCCUGACCAGGAGGAGUCGAACAUUAACUCAGCUCUUCCAGGGCACCCUGCAGACUCGGCUGUUGGCAUCGGCGAGGGAUGACGUGAACGCCAAACUGGAGUCCAUCACAGGUCAACUGCAGCUCCUUGUCUCAGAGUGGGAGGGAUUUGAAGCACAAAGGGAGGAACUUGUCGUUUGGUUGGCUUAUAUGGAUGUCCGCCUGAGUGAGGUUGACCAGCUGACAGGAAACACCAGUGCAAAAACUGAAACAACUGCAGGUGUGGGCUUGUUUUGAUAUGACAUAUAUUUGAUAUGAAACAUACGUCAGAGACAUUAUCCUAAACUGGACUAACAAAGGACCAUGAGUACAACAUGAAAUGUACAUUACAUGGUGUAAUGCUAAAGUUCAUUGAUCAUUUUAAUCAUAAACUUGUUGAAAUAUUUUUACUGAACAUGCAAACAUCUGCUGAUGAAAAUGUGUUGAUUUAUUGGUCUGUUAUGAAGCUGUUGCUAUUUCUAAUGUGUUUUAUCACUUUCUGAUGUUUUAUUAAUUAAACAAUACAUGUAUUAUUUGUUGUGUUAUCUGUAGCUAUAGUAUUUAUAUAUAUUUAUUUAUAGUAUAGCAAAUAUAUUUAAUUAUUACUGUUUAAAACACUAAUAUGUGACAUGUAUUAGUAGUGAUGUUAUGCUGAGGGUUAAAAUGCCUUUUUGUGUUUUGGUAUACUACAAAAUGACAAUAAACCAUUAAUAUAUGUCUAUGCUGUGCUCGUAUUUAUUUUACCCUAC
ensembl:lncRNA